UCUCCAAGUGUCUUCAAUGAAGAGGAGGGAGAGCUAAACGCUGCGCGCACCAACCCAGGCCCGAUGGUUUGUUGGACAGACUGGACUUGAGAAAGUACAAUCAGGAACCAGCUUCAUUAUUUUCCAAGCACUGCCUUCAACUAGACUCUUUGGAUCACCUUCCCCAAUUCAGAGGAUUUGUUUGCCAAAUCUCAGACACUUUCAGGGUCGCCAGAAAAGCGAGAGUGGAGACUGCAGGGAGUACGGGUUUGAAUGAACUUUGGCUGCUCCAUCAAGCAUGCUGAUCACUGAGGAAACAUCAGAAGCCUCAGCCAAGUGACUCAUCCCCCAAAUCCAACAGAGGAUUUUGAAAACAACAGAGAAAAUUAUAGCAGAGAAAUGGAGGGAGAAGGGAGAAAUGGUGAAGAGAGGAAGAGGGGGACAGGAGAAGCAAGACAGAGUUAGCUGUGCCUGAAGCAAGAGCUUCUGCUGGACUUUAUAUCAACAUGAGCCAAUCACUUCCAUUGACCUGCCAGAGAAACCGCUUAUUUCACAGAAGGAUGGUGCUGGCUGAAAGAUGCUUUCUUGAAAUGGAGGGAUUACUGCCUUACACAGGUUCCCCUGAAGAUGUAUUUUAUUUGCAUUUUAAUUCUUAGAGCUAAAAGGCACGAGCAUGAACUAUUGAGGAUAUUAACUCUGAAACUUUAUCUGCAUUGUUUCUGUUUGCAUUCUGUAUAGUGUGUUACAUAGGAAUAUA